UGGGGAAUAUUGCACAAUGGGCGCAAGCCUGAUGCAGCAACGCCGCGUGAGGGACGACGGCCUUCGGGUUGUAAACCUCUUUAGUAGGGAAGAAGCGAAAGUGACGGUACCUGCAGAAAAAGCACCGGCUAACUACGUGCCAGCAGCCGCGGUAAUACGUAGGGUGCGAGCGUUGUCCGGAAUUAUUGGGCGUAAAGAGCUCGUAGGCGGUCUGUCGCGUCUGCUGUGAAAACCCGAGGCUCAACCUCGGGCCUGCAGUGGGCACGGGCAGACUAGAGUGCGUAGGGAGAAUGGAAUCCUGGUGUAGCGGUGGAAUGCGCAGAUAUCAGGAGGAACACCGAUGGCGAAGGCAGUUCUCUGGGCCGUAACUGACGCUGAGGAGCGAAAGCGUGGGGAGCGAACAGGAUUAGAUACCCUGGUAGUCCACGCCGUAAACGUUGGGCGCUAGAUGUGGGGACCAUUCCACGGUUUCCGUGUC
rnacentral:rRNA from 1 species